UUUAUGGAGAGUUUGAUCCUGGCUCAGGAUGAACGCUGGCGGCGUGCCUAAUACAUGCAAGUCGAGCGAACGGACGAGAAGCUUGCUUCUCUGAUGUUAGCGGCGGACGGGUGAGUAACACGUGGAUAACCUACCUAUAAGACUGGGAUAACUUCGGGAAACCGGAGCUAAUACCGGAUAAU
rnacentral:rRNA from 2 species